rnacentral:rRNA from 1 species
CGUGUAGGCGGUCGGUCAAGUCCGGUGUGAAAGCCCGGGGCUCAGCUCCGGAAGUGCAUCGGAAACUAGCCGACUUGAGCGCGAUAGAGGAGGGUGGAAUUCCUGGUGUAGCGGUGAAAUGCGUAGAUAUCAGGAGGAACACCGGCGGCGAAGGCGGCCCUCUGGAUCGUUGCUGACGCUGAGACGCGAAAGCGUGGGGAGCAAACAGGAUUAGAUACCCUGGUAGUCCACGCUGUAAACGAUGGGUACUAGGUGUUCGGGGUGUUGACCCCCUGAGUGCCGACGCUAACGCAUUAAGCACCCCGCCUGGGGACUACGGCCGCAAGGCUAAA